rnacentral:rRNA from 1 species
AACGAACGCUGGCGGCAGGCCUAACACAUGCAAGUCGAGCGCGCCCUUCGGGGUGAGCGGCGGACGGGUGAGUAACGCGUGGGAACGUGCCCUUUUCUACGGAAUAGCCUCGGGAAACUGAGAGUAAUACCGUAUACGCCCUUUGGGGGAAAGAUUUAUCGGAAAAGGAUCGGCCCGCGUUGGAUUAGGUAGUUGGUGGGGUAAUGGCCUACCAAGCCGACGAUCCAUAGCUGGUUUGAGAGGAUGAUCAGCCACACUGGGACUGAGACACGGCCCAGACUCCUACGGGAGGCAGCAGUGGGGAAUCUUAGACAAUGGGGGCAACCCUGAUCUAGCCAUGCCGCGUGAGUGAUGAAGGCCUUAGGGUUGUAAAGCUCUUUCAGCUGGGAAGAUAAUGACGGUACCAGCAGAAGAAGCCCCGGUUAACUCCGUG